GCCUACGGCCAUACCACCCUGAGCAUGGUGGAUCUCAUCUGAUCUCGAAAGAUCUACAGUGUUGGAAACCCUGUGGAGCAAUGCUACUCUGUCCCGUGGGUC
rnacentral:rRNA from 1 species